rfam:Kibdelosporangium aridum strain DSM 43828 genome assembly, contig: LX79DRAFT_scaffold00002.2
GGAGGAUUGGCCGAGUCUGGGAAGGCAGCCGUCUCGAAAACGGUAGUCGGUGUGAAAGCCGCGCAGGUUCAAAUCCUGCAUCCUCCG